rnacentral:lncRNA from 1 species
ACCAAAUCGUUCUGAAAGUUCCCUUUGACUCCUAGAUUUGAAGAGACUUAGCCUGCUUCCUGCCUCCAAUUGCUCUGCUAAUUUAAUCUGCUCAGUCUCUGAAGAGUCUAAAUCAUUGGCCUUUGGGGAGAGUAAUCUGAGCGAGAGGAGGAAGUCAUAGCGCCUUUUAUGUGCUCCCCUGGGAAGUCACAUGUCACUUCUGCCAUACUUUAUUUGUUGGAGGAUCUUAAGAAGCUGAGCGGCCCAGUGGGAGGUCCCUGCAUGGAGUUGUUCCCAAGCACAAUGCACAGCAGAGUGCUUCACCUGGGAGGGCUGGAGCCCGCCCUCAUUUCCAAAAGCAGCCUUCAGGAGCAGGGACCCCAUCAGCCACUCUGUCACAGUCGACGGAUGGCCAUUAGCUCUUUGGGCAAAUCCUUCUUGAGUUUCCACAAUAUGCCAAGCACUGAACCAGGCCUAGAGUUUACGAUGAUGAAUAAGCCAGCAAGGACACUGACCACAUGGAGCUCCAUCUUCCAGUGGAAAGAAGCUUCUAAACAGGCGCAGUGUCAACCAUGAACUUGUUUGCUGAAUUACAGGUUGAUGGGUAUGUUGUGCUUCUUCCAAAGGCAUCCAUCUUGAGCCCUCUCUCUUCAGGUUCCCCAUGUCUAUAGUUCCGUAUCCCUGGCACCGUCUUUCCAAACCAAUGCACAGCACCCCCGUUCCCCCUAAACACACAUUCCUAGUUAAUUCCUGCUCAAGUCUUAGCUUAAAGAUCAUAUCCCUGUCCAGCCUCCCACCCUGGUAAGGACCCCUCCAACGUGCUCCCAUAGUCAUUCCAGCAGUACUACCAAGUACUUAAAAAGAAAACAAACCCAGAAUUCCUUUUUUGGUGUUCUGUUAUUUUUUUCAUCCGUUGCUUUUGUUUUCAUGAGUAGGUGCCAAAGCUGUCCAAUAGAACUUUCUGCGAUAGUAGAAAUGUUCUUCAUAUGUGCUCAGAUUUCAAUCCAAGAAAUCUGCUGCCUGAGUCUGUGCUCUAAACCACCAUGGAAAACUGCCUCCUGC